GCUAACGCGUUAAGUCGACCGCCUGGGGAGUACGGCCGCAAGGUUAAAACUCAAAUGAAUUGACGGGGGCCCGCACAAGCGGUGGAGCAUGUGGUUUAAUUCGAUGCAACGCGAAGAACCUUACCUGGUCUUGACAUCCACGGAAGUUUUCAGAGAUGAGAAUGUGCCUUCGGGAACCGUGAGACAGGUGCUGCAUGGCUGUCGUCAGCUCGUGUUGUGAAAUGUUGGGUUAAGUCCCGCAACGAGCGCAACCCUUAUCCUUUGUUGCCAGCGGUCCGGCCGGGAACUCAAAGGAGACUGCCAGUGAUAAACUGGAGGAAGGUGGGGAUGACGUCAAGUCAUCAUGGCCCUUACGACCAGGGCUACACACGUGCUACAAU
rnacentral:rRNA from 1 species